CUGCCCACGCCGUCGCUCCCGGGUGAAUCGCCACGAGCCGCAAAGCUGCUGUCCACGUGGACUGGUGCUGAAAUCUCCCGCCCGGCCGCCGCCAGAGCCUCGCCAGCCAAGCCCAGAGACAUGGCCACCAACGGCACCAAAGUGGCGGACGGACAGAUCUCCACCGAGGUCGACGCCUCCAUCACCAACGACAAGCCCAAAACCUUGGUAGUAAAAGUGCAGAAGAAGAAGACGGACCUUCCAGACCGAGACACUUGGAAAGGGAAAUUUGACUUUCUUAUGUCCUGUGUAGGUUAUGCCAUUGGCUUAGGGAAUGUGUGGAGAUUUCCGUACCUGUGCGGCAAGAACGGUGGAGGUACGUUGUGCUUAGGAGUCGCCACCAAAUUACCAACAAAUCAAACCCUGGCUUCAACAGAUUUUUCAGACAUGUAG